rnacentral:rRNA from 1 species
UACAGAGGUCUCAAGCGUUGUUCGGAUUCAUUGGGCGUAAAGGGUGUGUAGGUGGCGCGCUAAGUCGGGUGUGAAAUUUCGGAGCUUAACUCCGAAACUGCAUUCGAUACUGGCGUGCUUGAGGACUGGAGAGGAGACUGGAAUUCAUGGUGUAGUAGUGAAAUGCGCAGAUAUCAGGAAGAACACCCGUGGCGAAGGCGGUUCUCUGGGACGGUACUGACGCUGAGACGCGAAAGCGUGGGGAGCGAACAGG